rnacentral:rRNA from 1 species
AUUGAACGCUGGCGGCAGGCCUAACACAUGCAAGUCGAACGAGCGGCGGACGGGUGAGUAAUGUAUGGGAAACUGCCCGAUGGAGGGGGGUAACUACUGGAAACGGUAGCUAAUACCGCAUACCAUCGGAUGUGCCCAGAUGGGAUUAGCUUGUAGGUAGGGUAACGGCUUACCUAGGCGACGAUCCCUAGCUGGUCUGAGAGGAUGAUCAGCCACACUGGAACUGAGACACGGCCCAGACUCCUACGGGAGGCAGCAGUGGGGAAUAUUGCACAAUGGGCGCAAGCCUGAUGCAGCCAUGCCGCGUGUAUGAAGAAGGCCUUCGGGUUGUAAAGUACUUUCAGUGGGGAGGCGUUACCGACAGAAGAAGCACCGGCUAACUCCGUGCCAGCAGCCGCGGUAAUAC